UGGAUCCAGACUUUGAUUCUGGCUCAGGAUGAACGCUGGCGGCGUGCCUAAUACAUGCAAGUCGAACGAAACUUCUUUAUCACCGAGUGCUUGCACUCACCGAUAAAGAGUUGAGUGGCGAACGGGUGAGUAACACGUGGGCAACCUGCCCAAAAGAGGGGGAUAACACUUGGAAACAGGUGCUAAUACCGCAUAACCAUAGUUACCGCAUGGCAACUAUGUAAAAGGUGGCUAUGCUACCGCUUUUGGAUGGGCCCGCGGCGCAUUAGCUAGUUGGUGGGGUAAAGGUUUACCAAGGCAAUGAUGCGUAGCCGAACUGAGAGGUUGAUCGGCCACAUUGGGACUGAGACACGGCCCAAACUCCUACGGGAGGCAGCAGUAGGGAAUCUUCCACAAUGGGCGAAAGCCUGAUGGAGCAACGCCGCGUGGGUGAAGAAGGUCUUCGGAUCGUAAAACCCUGUUGUUAGAGAAGAAAGUGCGUGAGAGUAACUGUUCACGUUUCGACGGUAUCUAACCAGAAAGCCACGGCUAACUACGUGCCAGCAGCCGCGGUAAUACGUAGGUGGCAAGCGUUAUCCGGAUUUAUUGGGCGUAAAGGGAACGCAGGCGGUCUUUUAAGUCUGAUGUGAAAGCCUUCGGCUUAACCGGAGUAGUGCAUUGGAAACUGGGAGACUUGAGUGCAGAAGAGGAGAGUGGAACUCCAUGUGUAGCGGUGAAAUGCGUAGAUAUAUGGAAGAACACCAGUGGCGAAAGCGGCUCUCUGGUCUGUAACUGACGCUGAGGUUCGAAAGCGUGGGUAGCAAACAGGAUUAGAUACCCUGGUAGUCCACGCCGUAAACGAUGAAUGCUAAGUGUUGGAGGGUUUCCGCCCUUCAGUGCUGCAGCUAACGCAAUAAGCAUUCCGCCUGGGGAGUACGACCGCAAGGUUGCAACUCAAAUGAAUUGACGGA
rnacentral:rRNA from 1 species